UUCCCUUUUAUCUUUUUCUAGAGAAUGUGAUAUUACAAAAGGAGAACAAUGGUCACAUCUUUAGGUGGAGUAUAUGGCAUUCAUCUAAGGAUAUCAGGAUUUUCUUUUGAUUUAAAUAAGAAAAAAAUGUUCAUUUAAACUACUCUCUUCUGAUGUCUUCCUGUCUGACAGUGGAAAUGCAUAUUGAAUUCUAUAGUCAUAAUAGGAAGGAUAAUGCAUAUCCUGCAAUAGAAAAGAGGAAAGAAGAAAAAUAUACAACUUGUCCCAAUGAGCAAGUGAAUCAUAGAAAUUAGAAUGGAAAGGACCUAUUAUGCAAUGAAGACUACAGUUCAGGGAAAACACAGUUCUAUUUAUGUUUAUUUCAGAUUACACUGCUCAGCAUUUAUACUGUUCUUCCCACAAUAGCUCUGUCUUCCCCUUUCUAACAUCACACACAUCCCAUAAUUGUCUGUAGUAGCUUUUUCCUCAGCCCGAAUGAGAUUGCUUUGAAGGCUAAAUUCACACACUAGAGUAAUUAACUACAUAAUUGGUCUAGAGUGAAUCUUAUAUUGUCUUCUAUGAUACCUUCCUAUCCCCAUCAUAUUACUUAAUAGAAGCUGCCACGAUUUCUAAUGCCCAAAUCAGGAGAUUUAAGAGGCUGAUUUAUCCAGCCAUAGGGGAAAAAAUGAAAGGAAUAGUGACAUUGUUUUCACAUCGGGACCUGAAAAUAGUUUAGGACUGCAGAUUAGGUUUUAAAAUGAAUAUCUUUUUGCUUAGAUAAAGUGGAAGUUUCUUGGGAUUGUAAUCAUCAGCCUGGGUCACUAUGAUUUGAUUUAUACCACUGAUUCUGACAAUAUAGUCCCUGGACCAGCAGCAUUAGUAUCACCUGGCACUUGUUUCUUUCCCUUUCUGGGUCCCCACCCAGGGAGACUGAAUCAGAAACUCUGUAAAUCGGCCCCAAUGAUCUGUGUCUUAACAAGAUAUCCAGGGGAAUGUAAUGCACAUCAGAAUUUGGAACCACUGAUUUAUAAUAUUAAAAGAAUUUUUGAAAAAAUGGUAAAAUCAUGACACCCAUACAAUUUUAAAUAAUCUUGUGUUGAUUUAUUUAACUCAUUAAUGAGAAGAAUGGUUAAGAUGUUAUAACCAGUCCAAAAGCAAAUUCAAAUAACUAUACAUAUCUAGGCAAUAACAAAUUCUAAAAUGAGCUUACAAAAGAUGUAAGUCUCCACUAUUUACAGGGCAAUAAUCAAUUGCAACCAAUUGCAUUCCAUCAAACACAAUCCAUGUGCUUUUUUAUGGAUCAUCUGUUAUUAUUAGUUUUUUACCACCAGUUUUCACCUCUGGGUUAUAAAGUAGAUAGUCACUUUGGGAAUGGUACCCAAAGCAAGACAGACACUUAGUCAUUUUUUUCUCAUUUCAAAGUUAUAUAUAUAUAUAUAUAUAUAUAUAUAUAUAUAUAUAUAUAUAUUAUAUUAUAUUAAUAUAUAUAUUUAAAAGUUAUAUUAUAUAUAUAUAUAAUUUCCUGACAGUUUAGUUCACUUAAGCUUAUCAAAAGCUAAGUAUAACUAAACACCUUUUAUCUUGGAAUUUCUGAAUCAUCCCAACUCAAAAUUCCCACUUUUUGACCUUGGUUAAUCAGUUAAUCUUGAAGAAACAUGGAAAUUAGAGAUAAAAUAUAUUUUUUUCUUGUAGUCAUCAUCUGAACAUUUUAUUGUCCUAAGAAUGAACAUGAGGAACACUUGUGAAAAUAGAAUCGCAUGCAGUAUUCUGAAAUUUUAAUAUAACAACGUAGUAUCAUUUGCAGAUUAUCUCCAAGGCAGAGAAAGUUUGCUAACUGGGCAGUAGAAAUCAUAUCACAUAAAGGCAGUAAGUUGUAGCAAAUAAACCAAGAGUCCCAAUACAUUAUUGUA
rnacentral:lncRNA from 1 species